UCCCGCAGGCACCAAGCUGCAAACUUGGUAACGCACCCUAAGAGGUGCCGGGGCUUCUCCCGUUUUAAGAGAGACGGGAGAAGA
rnacentral:tRNA from 1 species